GGGCAUGCCGCGGUUCCAGCCCGCCGGGCGCUGAUGGAGACCCUCAAGGAGCGGGGGCUGUUCCGGGGGUCACCGAGAACCCCAUGGUGGUGCCCAUCUGCAGCCGCUCCAAGGACGUCCUGGAGCCGCGGGCCGUGCCCCAGUGGUUCGUGCGCUGCCAGGGCUGGCCGGGGCCGCGGCGGCCGCCGUGCGCAGGGGGGACCUGAGGCUGCACCCGCCCGGCCACGCCCAGCACCUGGUUCACCUGGAUGGACAACAUCAGGGACUGGUGCAUCUCGCGGCAGCUCUGGUGGGGCCAUCGCAUCCCCGCCUAACUCGUCACCAUCGACGACCCCCAGGUGCCGCCCGGACAGG